CGACAGACGCUUUGGUUCAUUACGUAGGCCGAUCAGGAUUUGACAGGUUCUAGCAACGGCACUAGCAACAUACGCUAAUAGCUAAUUGAAUCCCGUUGUGACCCAGGGGUGGAAACCAUUUGGCAGUGGACAUUAUUUGACAAGGCAGGCCCUGUUAUAAAUAAUGUGAACAUCAUUUUUUGUUUAAAUAUCCCACCCAUUCAACUAGGACUAUUCAAAAUAAAGGGCAUGACCUUAGUUUUCUCUGUUCUCUAACCUGAACCUGCAGAGGCUGGCCAGUGAAGCAGAACGUGUCCAGUGAGACCAUCCCUGGCACGACAGCAUCAAGAAGCUGGCCAGUGAAGCAGAACGUGUCCAGUGAGACCAUCCCUGGCACGACAGCAUCAAGAUUUGGCUCUUCUGAUAUGUGAGCUUCUCCCAACAUUCACCUACAAGAGCCGACUCUUAGCGCCGAGGAGAGAGAGGAACGACCCAUCACUAAUACAUUUGAUACCAGUUGGUAUUGAACGCCCUCACCUUUUCACUCUUCCUCAUGAAACUGAUCUCAGGCAGAAUUCAACCCUUGCUUUUAGACGUAUUGCUCGUUCACCCUGUGUCUGUUAUCAGCCUCGAAUCUGUACCCCUGCUACUUGGAGCAGACUUGAUGGAUCGGUUACUCCCAUUGAUGGUUUGGAAAUCCAACAAGGUAGGCCACAGAGACUACGGACAACACCGUACGAGAUCGCCAGAGCAUAAAUCAAAUCUAGUUGUAAACUCCCCUAUGAGAACAGUGAAGAGCAGACAGGCCCCUAGACGGGGAUUAUCUUAAAGCACAUCUAAGAUAGUACUGAGGUGUACCACACUGGUCGUAAAGGAAGUCCAGUGGACUUGUCCACCUCCAAAACAAAUGGCAACAAUAAUCAUUCCUUUCCAUGCUUAGUAGUAUGAGGUUUCUGUGUUAUGCACUAUAGCCCAUUACCAUAUAUGUGAUUGAAUAUUAUCUGCUGUUGGCUUGUGUGGAUGUAUGUAGGUGUUAUGCAACAUAGCUGACUUGAAACAUUGUUAACAGUUUCAGGACCAUGGGCCUUUCUCAUGAUGGAAAAAUACAGAAUAACAUAAAAACAGACACAUACAGAACUGUUGAAGGAAUUUAAUUCCUCUGUUUUAAUUCCCAAUCAAAAUUUAACACUCUGUCAAUGCAUAAGGAUUUGUAUGACCCUUAUUUUAUAAGAAUGGACAGAGCCCCGGUCUUAAAAGUCAAGGAACAGCCUUUAAUUCAAGAGAGUACUGAGUUCAUACACAUUUGCAGAGGUAUGUGCAUCCUUUCAAGCACACCCUUAUCAUUAACCUGUGGUGAGUUAUUCUCAAUUUUCGAUGAACAAAUAAGGUUUUAUAUGUAAGAUGGUUAAAUAAAGAGCAAAAUUAUGUAUUAUUAUUAUAUUAUUAUUUGUGCCCUUGUCCUAUAAGAGCUCUUUGUCACUUCCCAUGAGCCGGGUUGUGACAAAAACUCACACUCAUUCUUAUGUUUAAUAAAUGUAUCGUAAGUGUCAGGCCGGGCGCAGUGCACACUGACCAGGUCGCCAGGUGUACGGUGUUUCCUCCGACACAUUGGUGCGGCUGACUUCCGGGUUGGAUGUGCAUUGUGUCAAGAAGCAGUGCGGCUUGGUUGGGUUGUGUUUAUGAGGAUGCAUUGCUCUCGACCUUCGCCUCUCCCAAACCCGUACGGGAGUUGCAGCGAUGAGACAAGCCUGAAACUACUACCAAUUGGAUACCACAAAAUUGGGGAGACAAAAAGGGGUACAUUGUUUAAAAAUUAUAAUAAUGAUGGCAAAAAACAACAUUUGAAAGUGCGCUGACCCUGGUGCUCGAGGGGGUAUGGGACUAUAUGCAGCUGGAGGUUGAAUGUUUGAAGGGGUACGGGACUAUAAAAAGUUUGGGAACCACUGAUUUAGCAGCCUAAGUUGACUAAUUUGCCAUGAGUGAGAUUUUCUACGUGCAUUUCAUUGCCCCCUGGUACAACCUUUAGAUGGGGGACUGGGGGUUCUCCAUCAGGAACAUUUGACUGUUUUAUAGCUAAUUUCAUGAAAUUGACCAGGGUGGAAAAUAAAAACCACAGGUCAGGUGUAUUCAGGAUGCUUUGAACAUUAAAUGAAAACUCAAUAUUUGAUGAUUUUGUUACUUUGAGAUUUUGGAGGGCUGAAAUUUCAAGUAUGCUAAUAUUUCUGUAAAAAUAUUUUUAAGUGGUUUGACAAGUUGUUCAGACAGUAAUUCAAUUAGAUAAAGUGGCAGGCAAAUGCUAAAAACAGAUGGAAGGUUGGACACAGCGAUUGAUCCCUGUUCUCAGGUAGAAAGAUGUAAGCAAUAUGUGCAGGGGAGUGUUACCACUAAACCAAGUCUCUGAUCAGGACAUUGUUAUAUUCAUGGUUGAUGGCAGUUGGCAAGCAAAUUAGAUUGAUUGCAGUGUCCUUGUCCACAGACUGCUUUCAAGGUAAGGACACAAACAUUUUGUAUUUUGUAAUUUGGGUGAAUUCUCUCUUUAACAUAGGGCUAAUUUCUCAAAAUCAAACAACCUUCAAGAAAUAUUUUACGAAUAUCCAUAUUCAGGUGGUUUAUGCCAACUAGUUGAAGAUCCUUGCCAUCAUCUUACUCUACUUAGAUCAAAUGUGAUGUGUUUAGGAGUUGUGAGUCCCCCUACCAAUCUCUCCGCCUAGCAUGUACACAAUACUAACAUGUACAAAAUUAUAUUUGACAACCAUUUUACUAUAUUUCUUUAGUCAACCUUUAACAUUCAACAUAUUUAACCUUUAAUUAUUAUUUUAAUAAAUUCC